rnacentral:pre_miRNA from 1 species
GUAGUACUUCCUCCGUCCCAAAAUACUUGUCGAAGAAAUGAAUAAAAUUGGAUGUAUCUAUAACUAAAAUACAUUUAGAUUCAUUCAUUUCUCCGACAAGUAUUUCCGGACGGAGGGAGUAGUAC